UUUGUACUCCCUCCGUCCCAAAAUUCUUGUCUUAAAUUUGUCUAAAUACGGAUGUAUCUAGUUACAUUUUAGUGUUAGAUACAUCUGUAUCUAAACAAAUGCAAGACAAGAAUUUUGGGACGGAGAGAAUACUAC
rfam:Triticum aestivum genome assembly, contig: Triticum_aestivum_CS42_TGACv1_scaffold_210490_3AS